AAGCAGAUUGAAGAAGGACAUGUUCCCCUCCCUAAUUACACAAAUAAUCUUGGUUACACUUACAUCAUGGAUCAAGAUAAAAGGUUAAUCUUACUUCUAAUUAGUACUUUAAUUUAAUUUAAUCAACCACUUGUGUCAUUAGUACUUCAAUUUAUAUUAUAUCUUAUUUGAUUUCAUGUUAUUUAUGGCCAAACGCUUAAUAUAGUUAUCAUGAUGCAGGAUGAAGGCUCUAAGUCUCCAUUGAAGUGUGAUUAUGCAAGAAUGGCUCAAUAAAAUAUUUCUCUAUAUGAAUUGUAUCAGGGCAAUGUAUUUCAUAUAUUUCCUAUACCAUUGUUAGAAGGAAUAAAAAUGCAUUGAUCCUAUACAUGUAGGGAUCAAAUUAAUUAUUCCAAUAACAUGUCAAUUGGUAAAUGAUAUAUANNNNNNNNNNNNNNNNUAUAUAUAUAUAUAUAUAUAUAUAUUUAUAAAACAUUGACAUUUAUUAUAUAUAGGCUUUUGUUUUGUCAAAGUUCAUUUCUCUCGAAUAUAAAUGAUAGAGACUAAAUUUGUAAUCUCAGGAUAGAGA
rnacentral:lncRNA from 1 species